CUAUUGUAGUUUAUGGAAGAGAAUUCAACCUUAUUAUCAGCAUUUGUUUGUGCAUAAAAUCGCUAACAGUCUUGCGACAUUAUAAUUCACUGGACUGGCCUGGCCAGAAGGGCAAAAACAAACUCCGGGUUCUUAAGCAAUUCAGCAAGUCAGUCAAGGUCCAAUUAAGGCACACCAAUCGCGCUAACAUUCUGGAACGAAGUAUAGGCAACAGGAGCUGCAACUUCGUUUAUUUUAAAUGCAGAAACUGGUUCUUCCAAUGGUUCGACAUCAGGCAUUUGCUAGAUGGAGAUUUCUGGGGUUAGCAAAUCAUCAGUCAUUCUCCCGUUCCCAAUCUUCCCUCAGUCCGGGCUACUUUCAAGAAUUGUCCUGUAAACAACUUCCCUCUCUCAGUUUUUCUGCACUUCAAUUCGCUUGCUAUUUUCACCAAUGCCAACAUGCCAUGAAUCUCGCUAAUUUUGACUUGAGAAUGGAAGAAAAAUCAAAACAUAACAAAAUGCUGAAUACAACCGUGAAGUUCUAAUAUUUGUUGCGCUACACAUGCUAAAACAAGAGCUGUAAAGAAAAAGCAAUGUCCAAAUAAAAAGUGCGUAAUUGAUCUGACAACAUAUGCAAGUGUAUAUGUGAAGAAUUAAGCCAUUUGUACUUGUUUGUUGACACUUUAGG
rnacentral:lncRNA from 1 species